UACGUAGGGGGCAAGCGUUGUCCGGAAUCAUUGGGCGUAAAGCGCGCGUAGGCGGCCCGGUAAGUCCGCUCUGAAAGUCCAGGGGCUUAACCCUGGAAAGCGGGUGGAUACUGCCGGGCUUGAAUCCGGAAGAGGCGAGUGGAAUUCCUGGUGUAGCGGUGGAAUGCGCAGAGUAUCAGGAGGAACACCAAUAGCGAAGGCAGCUCGCUGGGACGGUAUUGACGCUAAGGCGCGAAGCG
rnacentral:rRNA from 1 species